rnacentral:rRNA from 1 species
UUGAACUGCGAACCCUGAGAAUUCAACUGGUGAGUGUGGUAUGAGCUUGGCAUGAUCGUUGGCUCUGCGGGUCUGCUUAGCUGCAGGUCUUCGCCUUCUGGUGGAGAUGCGCGAUACACUUGCCAAGUGUUGCGCGCUCGUUGAGUUACUCGGACAUGCUUGCCAGUGCACUUUCUCGGGGUGUUCACCACGACCGGCGCCGCUACUUGUCCAGUAUGGUUAAACCGGUCUUGCUUGGUCCUUGUGGCUUUGCUUGAUCGGGACGGCAGGUAACUCGUUGACUUGUGUGUUGGCCUCGGUUGACAUGCGCUUGGUUUUCGAGUGUAAUCAGCUGACUGUAUUGGUGCUAUGUGGUGCGUCGGAUCACGUCGGCUUGUGGUGUGUGCCUGCGUGCCUAUUUGCUGACGGAACCGGGUUUGGUUGUUAUGUUGCCUGUUCUGCAGGCCUGGUGAUGGCUCGGUUUCGCUUGGUGGAUGGGAGCGUGUGUGACACUUAUCAGGGCCUAUAGUCUGUGGUGUUGUGGUAGACUAUCCACCUGACCCGUCUUGAAACACGGACCAAGGAGAGUAACAUGUGCGCGAGUCAUGGGGCGUUACGAAAC